ACAGAUCAAUGCAAGAGGAAAGCUUCUUGAUGAAAUCAAGAAGAUUCCAAAACAGAUGAAACAGACUGCUGUUGGUCUGCGUUGAUCACUGUUCAUCGGUAGAGGAGCAUUCUUAAAGAGACGAAGCUGUACCGAAAGGAGCAGUGGAUUUUUAAGAAGAGAGAAUGCCGGAAUGAGUAGCGAGAAAGAGGUGAGAAUCCUCUUGGCCGAAUAUCUAAGGUUUCCAGGGUAAAGCUGAUCUGCCCUGGGUAAGUCGGGGCCUAAGGCGAGGUCGAAAGACGUAGUCGAUGGAUAACAGGUUGAAAUUCCUGUACUAUCCUGUAACAGAACUGUGGGGACGCAGACAGAGAGCACAAGCCGGGAAUGGAAAGACCGGUGCAAGCGAGGUAGGAGUACAUCAGGCAAAUCCGGUGUGCAAUCCGAAGACGUGAUGCGGAUCGAAAAGAAGUAGAGAAGUGUGUGAGCUGGCUGCCAAGAAAAGCCGCUAUUGUUUACAGGAUACCCGUACCGUAAACCGACACAGGUGGAUGAGGAGAGAAUCCUAAGGCCGACGGGAGAAGCAUUGUUAAGGAACUCGGCAAAAUGACUCCGUAACUUCGGGAGAAGGAGUGCCAUGCGAAUGGCCGCAGAGAAUUGGCCCAAGCAACUGUUUAGCAAAAACACAGGUCUAUGCGAAACCGAAAGGUGAGGUAUAUGGGCUGACGCCUGCCCGGUGCUGGAAGGUUAAGGGGAGAGGUUAGCGCAAGCGAAGCUUUGAACUUAAGCCCCAGUAAACGGCGGCCGUAACUAUAACGGUCCUAAGGUAGCGAAAUUCCUUGUCGGGUAAGUUCCGACCCGCACGAAAGGCGUAAUGAUUUGGGCACUGUCUCAACAAUGCACCCGGUGAAAUUGAAAUACCAGUGAAGAUGCUGGUUACCUGCGCCAGGACGGAAAGACCCCAUGGAGCUUUACUCUAGCUUGAUACUGGGAUUCGAUAUUGCAUGUACAGGAUAGGUGGGAGACUAGGAAGUGGUGACGCCAGUUGCCAUGGAGUCAAUGUUGGGAUACCACCCUUGCAGUAUUGGGUUUCUAACCAGCAGCCGUGAUCCGGCUGGGGGACAAUGUCAGGUGGGGAGUUUGACUGGGGCGGUCGCCUCCGAAAGGGUAUCGGAGGCGCUCAAAGGUUCCCUCAGAAUGGUUGGAAACCAUUCGAAGAGUGCAAAGGCAGAAGGGAGCUUGACUGCGACACCGACGGGUGGAGCAGGUACGAAAGUAGGACUUAGUGAUCCGGUGGUAUAAAGUGGGAUUGCCAUCGCUCAACGGAUAAAAGCUACCCUGGGGAUAACAGGCUUAUCACUCCCAAGAGUUCACAUCGACGGAGUGGUUUGGCACCUCGAUGUCGGCUCAUCGCAUCCUGGGGCUGUAGUCGGUCCCAAGGGUUGGGCUGUUCGCCCAUUAAAGCGGUACGCGAGCUGGGUUCAGAACGUCGUGAGACAGUUCGGUCCCUAUCCGGCGUGGGCGUAGGAUAUUUGAGAGGAGCUGCCCUUAGUACGAGAGGACCGGGGUGGACUGGCCGCUGGUGUAUCUGUUGUAUUACCAAGUGCAUAGCAGAGUAGCCAAGCCGGGAAGGGAUAAACGCUGAAGGCAUCUAAGCGUGAAGCCCCCCUCAAGAUGAGAUAUCCCAUAACGUCAAGUUAGUAAGACCCCUUGAAGACGACGAGGUAGAUAGGGCAGAGGUGGAAGUGUGGUAACACAUGGAGCUGACUGUUACUAAUAGGUCGAGGGCAUAACCAA
rnacentral:rRNA from 1 species